UAAAAAUAUUUGGUAUAAACACUACACUCACUUUUGUUUACAGUGGGCCGCUGCCCUUACAAGAACAUCAGCAAUAGAAACUAGAGAGUGCUAACUACUAUUUUCUGUUGCAGUCCACUCGCACUUGGGCCAAGUAAUCCAGCAGCUGGGGCUGCACCUACAGGCCUGGGAGUGGAGCAGCAUGGCCUUCAACACCAUGUUUUCUUUUCAAGCAGAUCCUUGACAUGGCAGACGGAGGCCUCCACAUAAUCCCGUGGUUUGUGGUAAGCGUGGAGCAAGGUGGAGUCGUCGUCCGAGCUGUGUCCGAGUGCCCCGUUUGGUCUGCAGUCUGCAAAAGGACUCGCCUUGCCAUUAGGAGCGAUUUUCAGCUAAGAGGGGCUGCCGUCUGGACGCAAAUAAAGGACAAAUGAAGCCUGACAUCUCCACAAGUGGAACAAAUGAAAGCAGGAAAAGGGUGACUGGACUCAUUUAAAGGGCAAACUUGUCCACCUGUGUUUGCUUUUCUUUUAGUUAGCUGUCAUGAUGAAUUUCUGAGGGAUUUAUUUGAAAAAUAAAAGUGUCAGUCAUUUAAACUGAUUUACAUUAAAAUCAAAGUGUGCA